rnacentral:rRNA from 1 species
UACCCGYUGGAACUUAAGCAUAUCAAUAAGCGGAGGAAAAGAAACCAACAGGGAUUGCCUCAGUAACGGCGAGUGAAGCGGCAACAGCUCAAAUUUGAAAUCUGGCCCCGUUGGGGUCCGAGUUGUAAUUUGUAGAGAGUGUUUCGGGUGAGACCACGGUCUAAGUCUAUUGGAACAUGGCGUCAUAGAGGGUGAGAAUCCCGUAUGUGACCGUGGCUCGAGCCCAUGUGAAGCCUCUUCGACGAGUCGAGUUGUUUGGGAAUGCAGCUCAAAAUGGGUGGUAAAUUUCAUCUAAAGCUAAAUACUGGCUGGAGACCGAUAGCGCACAAGUAGAGUGAUCGAAAGAUGAAAAGCACUUUGGAAAGAGAGUCAAAAAGUACGUGAAAUUGUUGAAAGGGAAGCGCUUGCAACCAGACCUGUCCGUAGGUGAUCAGCCGCUGUUCUCAGCGGUGCACUCGCUCUGCGAUCAGGCCAGCAUCGGUUUCGGCGGUCGGAUAAAGGCCUUGGGAAUGUAGCUUCCUUCGGGGAGUCUUAUAGCCCUCGGUGCAAUGCGGCCAGCCGGGACCGAGGACCGCGCUUCGGCUAGGAUGCUGGCGUAAUGGUUGUAAGCGACCCGUCUUGAAACACGGACCAAGGAGUCUAACAUCUAUGCGAGUGUUUGGGUGUUAAACCCAUGCGCGGAAUGAAAGUGAACGGAGGUGAGACCCCUUUAGGGCGCAUCAUCGACCGAUCCAGAUGUCUUCGGAUGGAUUUGAGUAUGAGCAUAGCUGUUGGGACCCGAAAGAUGGUGAACUAUGCCUGAAUAGGGUGAAGCCAGAGGAAACUCUGGUGGAGGCUCGCAGCGGUUCUGACG